AAUAUAUGAACACUAUUUAGAUUGAAAAGGUCAAAAUGAUAUCGAUGGAUUCAUCCAAAUAGUAGAACAAUUUUGUACUGUAUUUGUUAUUCAAAUUCCUACUAUUGGAUCCUUUGGAAAAUAUAUCUAUUCGAAUCCAGAAAUGCUGACCCUUGAUCACUGACUGGUUUUGCACUGGUGUUCUUAAUCACCUUCCUAACAGAAUAUGACUGCAUCUUUAUUUAACUAAUUUGUGUAAACCUGCCUUUCCUCCAAAGGAUGAUUGCUAGGGAAUAUGACUGCAUCUUUAUUUAACUAAUUUGUGUAAACCUGCCUUUCCUCCAAAGGAUGAUUGCUAGGGUAAGCAUUUGUGAAUUCCAUGCAGGAGAUUCAAAGAUAUGAAGAAUCAC
rnacentral:lncRNA from 1 species